rnacentral:rRNA from 1 species
UACGGAGGGUGCAAGCGUUAUCCGGAUUCACUGGGUUUAAAGGGUGCGUAGGUGGGUCUGUAAGUCAGUGGUGAAAUCUUCGAGCUUAACUCGGAGACUGCCAUUGAUACUAUAGAUCUUGAAUUUUCUGGAGGUAAGCGGAAUAUGUCAUGUAGCGGUGAAAUGCUUAGAUAUGACAUAGAACACCAAUUGCGAAGGCAGCUUACUACGGGAACAUUGACACUGAGGCACGAAAGCGUGGGGAUCAAACAGG